rnacentral:misc_RNA from 1 species
GAUGAAGAACGUAGCGAAAUGCGAUAAGUAAUGUGAAUUGCAGAAUUCAGUGAAUCAUCGAAUCUUUGAACGCAUCUUGCGCUCCUUGGUAUUCUGAGGAGCAUGCCUGUUUGAGUGUCAUUAAAUUCUCAACUACACUGACUUUGAAUUGGUGUGGCUUGGAUUUGGGGGGAAAAUUGUUGUGGGCUUUUUGUAUAGUCUGCUCCCCUGAAAUUGAUUAGCGGUACCUUUGUGGAACUGUCUACAGGUGUGAUAAUUAUCUACAUCUUAGACAUCUUCUGGAAUGCUGCUUUCUAAACCUUACUUGUAUUGACAAUCUUGACCUCAAAUCAGGUAGGACUACCCGCUGAACUUAAGCAUAUCAAUAAGCGGAGGA